rnacentral:tRNA from 1 species
GGUGGGGUUCCCGAUCGGCCAAAGGGAGCAGACUGUAAAUCUGCCGUCAUCGACUUCGAAGGUUCGAAUCCUUCCCCCACCACCA